rnacentral:rRNA from 1 species
UACAGAGGUCUCAAGCGUUGUUCGGAUUCAUUGGGCGUAAAGGGUGCGUAGGUGGUGACGUAAGUCUAAUGUGAAAUCUCGGGGCUUAACCCCCGAAAUUGCAUCGGAUACUGCGUGACUUAGAGGAUUGUAGAGGAGAUUGGAAUUCACGGUGUAGCAGUGAAAUGCGUAGAUAUCGUGAGGAAGACCAGUUGCGAAGGCGAAUCUCUGGGCAAUUCCUGACACUGAGGCACGAAGGCCAGGGGAGCAAACGGG